rnacentral:snRNA from 1 species
AUACUUACCUGGCCAGGGAGAUGCCAUGAUUAUGAAGAUGGUUUUCCUAGGGCGAGGCUUAUCCAUUGCACUUGGAUGUGCUGACCCCUGCGACUCCCCCAAUGUGGGAAAUUUGACUGCAUAAUCUGUGGUAGUGGGGGACAUAUUUGUGCUCUCUUC